rnacentral:rRNA from 1 species
CAUGUCUUUUUGAUUUUAAUAUAAAGUCUGAUCUGCUCAAUGAAUAAUAUUUAAAUAGCUGCAGUAUUUUGACUGUACAAAGGUAGCAUAAUAAAUAGUUUUUUAAUUGAAAGCUGGAAUGAAGGAUUGGACGAGAAAAUUACUGUCUCAAUUUUAUUUAAAUUGAAUUUAACUUUUUAGUUAAAAGGCUAAAAUUUUUUUAAAAGACGAGAAGACCCUAUAGAGUUUUAUAGUUAACUUUUUUUAAUUUUUUUAGUAUUAUUAUUAAUUAAAUAAAGGUUAAUUAUUUGGUUGGGGUGAUUAAAAAAUUUAUUAAACUUUUUUAUUUAAAAAAUUAUUUAUAUGUAAAUUUAUUUUCUAUAGAUUUUUAAAUUUAAAAUAAAUUACCUUAGGGAUAACAGCGUAAUAGAUUUUUGAAGUUCGUAUUUAAAAAUUUGAUUGCGACCUCGAUGUUGGAUUAAAAUUUAUUAU